UGGGGAAUUUUGCACAAUGGAGGAAACUCUGAUGCAGCGACGCCGCGUGAAUGAUGAAGAUCUUCGGAUUGUAAAACUCUGUCCUUAGUGAAGAUAAUGACAGUAACUAAGAAGCAAUCCCUGGCUAAAUACGUGCCAGCAGCCGCGGUAAUACGUAUGGGGCAAGCGUUGUCCGGAAUUAUUGGGCGUAAAGGGUACGUAGGCGGUUUAAUAAGUCCUAAUUAAAAGGCUAUGGCUCAACCAUAGUAUGGUUAGGAAACUGUUGAACUUGAGUAGAUGAGGGGAAAGUGGAAUUCCAUGUGUAGCGGUGAAAUGCGUAGAUAUAUGGAGGAACACCAAUGGCGAAGGAAACUUUCUGGAAUCAAACUGACGCUGAGGUACGAAGGCGUGGGGAGCAAACAGG
rnacentral:rRNA from 1 species